UGUUAUUUCAGUUCUUGGCUUGAGGCUUGUUGGCGCUUGGCUCAGUCACCUGCUAAGGUUUGAGCGCGUCGCAACGUAGCGGCAACUUUUGCAACGGUUUCUAACGUUGCCAUAAACAGCAACAAAAACAAAUAAUAGCACGUGCAGAGCCGCCACAAGAAAAUCAUCACCAAUAGCAACAAUAACGUGAAAAUUAUAAAGCCAAAAAACACGCAAACCGCAUAAAAAUUUAAAAAAACGCGCGCGCCAAAUAAAAAAAAACCCGACAACACACGAAAAAACCAAAAAUACAACAAAAAAAAAUGCUCGUAAAAAAUUAAAGAAAAAAAAUAAAAAAAUAAAGCAAGGAGAAAAAAGAGAAUUUUAAGCGCUUGCGUUUUGUCAACCAGAAAAGGGCCAAGCGGCAAUAAAAGCGCACAAGUGGCAGCAGCAGCAACAACAACAACAAUAACAACAACAACUGCAACUACAAAAGGCGACCCUGUGAAUAAAAAAAAAUAAUAAUAAUAAGAACUGAGGCCCAAACCGAAAACCCUUUUGAACCCGAGGCAGGAAAACGCUUGUUUCGACAAGCCAGUGACAAAAACAACAACAACAACAACAGUAACAACAGCAACAGCCACAACAACGAACACCAGCAAUAGCAAAAACAACAACAUCGACAACAACGACAACACAGGUAAGUGUGCCAGAAGCU